rnacentral:tRNA from 1 species
AAAAUCCGUCGACUUUAAAAAUCGUGNGGGUCAAGUCCCUCUAUCCCCA